CCCCAGGGCACACAGGCCGUGGCUGCGAUCUGGGAGGGAGAGGGUCGUUCCUCCGCGGAGAACACGAGGAGAUUUAUUACUAUAUUGUUAUUGUUAUUAUUAUUACACAAGGCAAAACUUGUUUCCACCUCUGGAAUUACAGAAUCCGUUAGGCUGGAAGGGACCACAGUGGGUCGUCUGGUCCAAGCUCCCUGCUCAAGCACCAAGGACAAUCUGGCUCCUUCUUCUUGGUACUCACCCCUUUAGAAUAAUAACAACAUAAGAAUGAAGUCAGCCCUGGGCAGGGAUGCUUUAGUGUCUGGAGCACCAGAAGCAGAGGAAGCAGGCAGGAGUCUCACUCGAUGUGCUCUGGCUCCUGAAGUCAGAGCAAGCACUUGGCAAAGCAGAUAGAUGUGCAAGAACACGUGUUUCCAGACAUCUGCCUAGUGAUCGCAUAUCUGAGCAGUUUGCUGAAACUUGGUCUAAAGUCCAUGAGGUCCUUGGGCUCCUGAAAUGAUUUCCAAGUCUUCAAAAGCUUUCUGAAGGGAACACAGACAUACAGAAGAAUUUCAUAUGUAUAGAUGCAGUGAAAAAAAGAAGAAAAUUUUUUCAAGGAUGCCCCAAAAUUAUCACCCUCCCAGUACAAGACUAGUGAAUGAUACAAUGCUGAUUAUGGUGCAUUGAAUUGGUAAGAAGUGAGGAAUCACAGUGCAGUAAGACAAAGUCUCUAGAUUUCUACAGAGCCCUGGUUGAACUGCUUACAUUCCUCCAGCUAGGUCCAUGAUUUUUUAGCCAUGUCAGAGGAGGGAGGACUCAGAAUGUGCAAUGCCACAGGGUUAAGUGGUGGUGAUGUCUUAGAAGGAGAGGUUCAUCUUCAGGCACAAAAGGCAUUGCAGUAUUGUUGAGUUUCCCCUCCUCCACAGGAUUGCAGGAUUGUGCCAGAGUGUGAGUCAACAAAGAGGUGGUGUGGGCUUUCAGGAUCUUGGGGUUGAAUGGGAAUGCAAACCAUGACCUAACAUACACCAUGUGUCUUUCCCUUCUUCCAGGAGGGAAAACCGUGUUCCUACACUGCAGGUAGGUGCUGUGAAGAAAAAUGUCACAGAAAUGUCACAGAUACUACUGUUAUGGGUAUAGAUUCAGGGCACAGAUUCAGCUUGUUCAGUUCUCUAACAACAUUAUUAUUGUUGUUGUUAUUAUUAAAAUUAUUAAAUUCACAAAUUAUAGUCUAUUAUCAGGCUACACACACGCUGUACAUACUUGUAUGACUAAAGCAAUCAAGACACAUAAAAAGACCUUGAAUUUGAUAAAAAUAGGCAAAUGGGGAGUAUCCCAUCCCAGACUCAGCAGCUGGCAGAGGGUAUGUGCUGCAGUCAUUUACUGUGAUCUUGGACUUUGUUUUGCUUAAGAGUCCAUGAACUUGCGAUAACUUUUACUGGAGCAUCCACGGAAGUACUCAGGAAUGAGUAUGUUUUUUACUGCCCAGUUACCUGUACUCUUAAAAAAAAUUUGUAACCAUGAAUAGAUAUAAAUUCUGUGUGGUGUUUUACACUGUGUUUCUCAGCUUAAUAAAAUAUAAGAGGAAAACUAUAGAAAGAAGGGGGAGGGUGCCUAGUUCGAGCAUAUAAAGGCAGGUCUAUAAAGCAUGUUACACGGUUGAAAAGUGACAUGCAGUUUUAAGAUUAUAUCUGCCAAGUAUGUUGAUGGUAUGGCUUGUGUUCUAUCAAGUCAUUUCUACUGUCUUUGUUUGAGAAGUAUGAACUAGUUUUAUACAAUAAAAAAAAACCAAACCAGUCCUGUUUAGGAAUCAGACAUCACUUCUGUAUAGUCUUUGUCUUUGACUUUGUCACAUGUAAAGACAGCUGACAGAAUUGGUUCUGUAAGGCUGUAGUUAGGAAGAACUCUGUAGAUUGUAACA